CUAGUAUGAUGCACGAUGCGAAAUGCGAUAUAUGACGCGCGAUAUAUCCAAUGAGCGUACAGCUUUUCUGGAAUACCGGCUGCUCUCUGCAAACAACAAAAGAAGGAAGUUAUCCCGUACAAUUUUGGAUUUUGAGGUGUAGGCGUAGGCGAGGGAUAUAAUCUUCAAGUCAUCUGGACUGAAUAAAUCCUGAAUAGCUAUAGCUGCAUGGUCAUUGAAAUACGGAAUCACAUACUCUGCAUUAACAGCGCUCAUGGAAAUUUUAAAUAUUUUUACAAAUUAUACAUUUCCAAAGGAUUCUAGAACGAUUUUGCAAACUCCAAAGCAUACAGAUAUUGUCACCAUGGGCGAUGAUGGCAUAUCAAUAUCAAGAUCCUCAAAAGGUUGUUUUUGGCCUAUCCUUGUAUCUAAAAACCUAUGUCGAAAAGUAUAUGUCGCAGGAAUAUAUUAUGGAUAUACAAAACCAAACGAUGCCAAUGAAUUUUUAAGACGAUUUGUAUCUGAUAUGAAACCUGUAAUAACAACAGGAUAUAUUUAUGAUGAUAUAAGAGUCAGAGUAAACUUAAGUGCAUUGAUUUGUGAUACACCUGCGAAAUCAUUUAUUCUUUCAGUGAAAAGCCAUACAGGAUUUUUUAGCUGCACAAAAUGUACUAUAAAAGCGAAAACAGUAUCAUAGAAUUUGAGGAUGGCCUGGCAAUAGUGUCUUCAUUUUGGUUGAACGACGAUGGAACCCAAUGUGCUUAUCCCACGUUUCGGGAUCCAAUAAAAAUAAAAAAAGCUGUUGUGUCUCAUAUGUCUCCCGAAGAUAACCCGAACUGGAAAACAUAUAAUGUAUCAAGGAUCUUCUGCAAAAUAAAUUUAUACGAAAGAGCAAAAGAAAAACUAUUCCUGGUUGAACAGUUUUCAGAUGUAACGGCUGAAGAAGGCAUAGAAGAUGACAUCAAAAGAUACGAAAGACAAAAACAAUCGAGGCAUAUGCGAACUAAAAAAAAAUAUUCUUCAUCAGAGGAGUGCGAAUUCGACUUUGAUAGAAGUCAGAAAGUAACAAAAUUACCACCUUUUCCGAAAAUUCCAGAACAAUUAUACGCCUCAAAAGAAAAAGAAAUGUACAAGUCAAAAGAUAUCUUCAUUGUCACAACCGAAACGAUCUAAAUCUGAAUGUCAAACAAAUCCUAUUUUACAUACAACUCCAUCCAAAGAAGCAACAUUAUGUACAUUCACAGAAUGGAAUUAUCAUGAUAAUGCAUCCGAUUAUAAUGACAAUGUGCAAGAUACAAUGAAUAAAACGCAUCAGAAUACAUCUAUGAAAAGCAAGAACAUAAUGGCAGAAAAUGAAUUUCAAAAAGAGAUUCUAAGGAAAUUGCAAUUAAUACUAUAUAAAAUAACUGCUGUAGAAAAUAGAAUAGUCAUGUUGGAAACAUCAAACAUGCGGCUGAUUAAUAAGGAGGCAGCCGAUGUUAUACAGUAUGAAGAAUAUAAUAUGCCACUGCAAAAUUUGGCGGCGUUGCAACAAUUGGAACAACUACAAGAAAACUUAUUUGCAAAUAAAAUGGUACAAACGCUGAAACAAACAGGUGGAGUAAACUUGUCGAAUAUAAUCCCGAAUAUUCUAAAAAAGAUACUAACAAGGGAACUGUCAGGGGUGUCCCUCACCGAUUUGAUUCUCCUUGAAAUAUGUUAUAAAACAAACAAAUCAAAGAGACACGUAUUUUUUUAUAUCGGCCCAAUCUCAUGUUUAAGGGAUGAAACAACCAUUUGAAAAAAAACGGUCUUUUUCUUUGAGAUCGAAUAUUGUCGAAACUAUAAGACACA